GGCAGCGUGGGUGUGUGUGGGUGUAUGCUCGUGUGCUUGAGUAUGGGGGCGAGCAGAGGGUGUAGGUGUAGGUGUGGGUGGACGCAGAGGUCUGUGUGUGUGUAUGUGUAGAGGAGGUGUAAGUGUGAGUAUACAUUUACACUGUGUUCUAUGUUAGGCUCUCUUGGGAAUUUCAGUCUCGCUGCCUGCUUUAGUGUCAUCUUACAUACACACGCUCAAGACUGCUGGUAGUAUAACAGCUAUAAUAUAGUUUUGUGGAGCAUAGAGUUGGGUUAAAGUGUGUAACAGAAGGAGCCUGUGGAGCCUGUGGUGCUCUGCUGUACUCUCCGUUUGUCUGUGGAGCCUGUGGUGAUCUGCUGUACUCUCAGCUUGCCUGUAGUUUUCACCUCACAGCUGGGUUUGCUUCCUCUUCCUUUCUCAGAGAGUAAAGCUCCAACUUUGGCAGCCAGUGGAGUUCUGUCCAGACUUCAGUAGCCAUGACUGUAGACUGUUACUGUGCUUUUAGAGUGUGUAAGCAGUAAGCAGUCUAGAGCCAAGGUCCUGACGUGCUGGCUAUGACUGGGGUUUGCUGUCAGAGGCGACUGGCAGAUUAUUUCAGACGUCCGAUAACAGGCUACUCGCCAACCUCGCUAAAACAGCAUCUGGAAUACUGUGGCUUUGGCGUUUGGGUAAUGACAAAAGAACAGCUGGUUAUCAAUUAUAUUCUGUUCAUUGAUGCUAUUGAUGCUUGAGGAGAAUGCUAAAAAAAAAAGAUGUCAGACAUCUAAAAGAUUCCAUGUGUCCAUGUUUUUAGUACGUUUGGUUCCGCUUCAUGACGUGUGUGAGUUCGUCAAUACUUUUUACGAUUUGGACUAUUUAAACAGGAAUUUCCACGUGCGACCGACGGUUAGCUCAUUAAAGCAUUUUUAUUCGGAUCUUGCACGGUCGUAUUGCACUAGAAUAGGACGUGAGCUACGCGGAAUUGUUGUUUCAACAGUAAAGUGAUGUUCGUCUCUCCCCCCCUUUGCUUAGACUUUUGAGCUCUUACGGACAAGCCAACUCUGGCUGCUGCGCCUGCUCUGGACUAUUGUUCAGCACAGCGACACACGUGACAGCAGCCAUUGGCAGAACGAAGGGCCGGUUGCUAGCCGUGGUCCUGAAAUCAGAGAUCCCGCAUUCUCUGUUGGCUAUCGGUCCUCUAAACACUUAUAGGUGUGAAAUAUCGAUGUUGAUACAACAUCAAGACAAAUGUAUGUGGCACUUAAGUUUCUCUCAAAAUUGACGAGGCAGCCUGGCUCCCUAUCUUCGUGUGCCGCGAAUUAUCAGUGUUAAGACUUUCUUUCCGAGAAUCCGACCCGAAGAUAAAAUAUGUGACUCCAUGCUCUAAAAUAGAAAAUGUCUUAAUCUCUCAAUUUCUUAAUCUAUCUUAAACAGCAUAACCUUCAGACUUUGCGACGAGAUCAUUCACGAAUCUGUCAACUGCUGUUUGAAAUAGUUUUACAAAAGCACAUUUAUAGUGGAUGUAUAGUGGAUGUCUGUGGCAUGUUGCAUAUUAAAAACACACAGUCUGUGCCAUAAACACAUUUCUCUUAAUUUGUUUUUAUUCAAAAGCUAACGAUUACCUCUCUGUGAACCAGGAAAAUUACAGAAGUUACCGAGUGCAAUCUCAUGUGAAAACUCAGUAAACAUUAAAAGAAUCACCACUUUGGACAGCUAUGAUUUCUUAUCACGCAAGUAAUAGGCUCAGUGUGUGUGUAUCUCUCUGUUUGUGUGUGUGUGUGCGUGUGAGCGCGUCGUGUGUGUGCGUAUGUGUUCAUGUUCUGAGCACGCGCUGUUUCUUUAAAGGGUUACAGUAGGUGACUGCGAAUCAUCUGCAAAGUGCGCAAGAGUGACGCAGAACUGACUUCAGCGACUGAAAACACGUCACAGAAUUCAUGCAGGAAAGGGUAAACGGAAAUGAUUGGGAGCAAAGGAAAUUUGUACAUCCUGUGGGGAAGGCCAGUCAAGGUAAAUAGAAUCGCUGGAGUGAAAAUACCAUAACCAAACACAUGAAUAUGUUCAGGUUGUGGAGACGGUGUCAGUGUGUGUGAGUGUUGUGUGUGUGUGUGUGGGGCGGCACAACCAACCGGAACAAAAUGGGACGGGGGGGCAAAUGUCCACCGGAAACCUCCAGGCUGCGCUCUAUGACGAGAAUAGUGAUUAAAAACGCGUUAUCCUCCGGUGGGACCCUCGCGCAGACAAGGAAAAUGCGAGUCUCCAGGUCCGCAAUUAAGCCCUGACCUCUCCUCUAGCGUCUCGGGUUCGGGUCGAUGUGUAGCUUACGUCAUGUCAGAGUCAUUGUUUCGUUCUUUUUUUAAAUAAUCAAUAUAUUUUGAUUAACUUCUCCAUCAUGAUGUACUGAUAAUUCCCAAACACACAUAGUCUACAGCAUCCAGUUGAAAUUAUGUUUCGUUGUGUUGCUUCGACACGUGUAAGGGUAACUUAGGUUAUCACUAAGACAUUGUCAUAACUGCCCUUCACACCUUGACCAUAUACUAAGCAUCGCCUGUCUAGAAUUAAUAGUAUUUCGGGCAUGGAAUUGCUUGCAAAGGGCAGCCUGCACGACCCAUUCGGUUCCCUUAGUUCAUUCAAAGAAGUCACGCCACACACGUGCAAAAAAGUGAGUCACACUGCAGUAACUUUCAGUUCUCCCGCAAUCUGUCUGUGCUCUCCGCUGCAUCAACACAUCAAUGCUUCAUGUAACACUUUUGUUUUAAUGACUUCACGUAAGUCAGAUCAUUCAAUUGAACACAUGAAGUCUACGAGCAUAUGCUAACCGUUCUCCAGUUCUGUGAAGCCAUGAAGCAGUAAAUUAACUCACCCGUCAAUUGUCUCGAUCGAAAUGUUCUCCCGCAGAUGUCAGUGACAGCUUCUUCAUCCUGCUGGUAGACUUGACGUUAGGACUUCAACUCGUAAAGUUCUAGAAAAUGAAGUUUCUUUGAGCCGGUUGAAGACUGCAGCGUUUAAACAAGACUGGCACACAGUCUCUUCGCGCUGUUAUGACCCUUCUCUCUCAGAAAACUCGCGAUUCUCAACCGUUCUUACAAGCCCCCGUGCGCUUUUUAUAGAGCUGCUAUAGUACUAGUAGAGCGAGCGAGCGGGGAGGGGAGGGGGGUUCAUUCACUAAAAAGCAUCACCUACACAUCCACGCGUACGCAUUACGUCAUUGACGGAAUGUUGUCAACGGGAUUGCUAUUUAUAAAGACGGCUCCUGGCGAAGAGAGGAGGGAAAGUCGACCGUCGGAGAAGCGAGCAGUGCGUCCAAUACGGUGAUAUUUUGUUAAUCUAGUUGCUUAUUAAAAACAAAGAGAAGUUUGCGUUUAUAUUGUAUGAUUCCCAAUUCGUCUUCGUAUAUUUAGGUCGUUUGAUACAGUCUAGCAGCCGCGACAAGCAGAGCUUAGACUACGACUCAUAAGCUACUUUGUUCGCGUUCCGGACCUAAAGAUGAUUCUCCUUUGAGUAGGUAGAACCCCCCCCCCCUUUCCAUAUUGGGUUAAAUAGGUUACAGCUUUCCUGUUAAAAAAACAGUUUGCGACUUUUUCCGGGAUUCAAGACAUUGCAUUCCCACAAGUGACAAUUUCCAGCCUACCCAGCAUCUUAUUAAAAAAAAGGUUAAACUAUAAAAUGGUAAGCUCUUCGCUUUUAAAUCAUAAUUCAUGAGGUUAUCCCAUGCGUGACUUGAUGUCUUCUACAGUUUUACGAAUCUACAGAAUCACAUUAAACGGGACCAAUAUUGUCUCAUUGAACAAAGUCGUCAAACGCCCCAGAAGUAAGCAUGUGAAACACUCUGUGUGAGAAAACACAAGAUUUGGGGGACUCCAACCUAGUGCGUAAUAGCAGCGUAUCAGGGAAGCGUUUGCCGGGGAGGUAGGAGUCCCACUGUGCUAGGUGGGCGGUUGGUGAUAGUGGAAUAUACCUGUCGCUUCCGCCGGGAAACUCACAUGUUCCCUCUCCGACAUUUCAGUCUUGGAAUCUCCCUCCCGGGGUUCACCGCCCCUCCGCUCCCUUCGUCACACUCACACCCACGAUCGCACCUGCCCUCCCACCUUGUCACAAACACACACACACACACACACACACACACACACACACACACACACACACACCUACACACCUACACAGACCCCCCCCCACACACACACAGCAUAGUAACUAAGUAACUAACUGAGCAAAAUGCCUGCAGCUUGAUCUGCGCAAGGUGCCCCUCUUAAAUUUCAUAUACAUUCAUAAUUACACAUUCUUAUGCAAACAUAUGUUUUAGUAGGGUAGAUCACUGACACAUAUGUUAACACCACCCACUAACACAAACAUACAUACACACACACACACACACACACACACACACACACACACACACACACACACACACACACACAUGCUGCACAGAUUUCUGUUGUGAGUAAUAUUGUUUACUAACCUGGGGGAGCUUCAAAGGCACAGACCACUGAUGUAGUUUCAGAGCUGAUUCACUGAGUGUGUGUGAGUGUGUGUGUGUGUGUGUGUGUGUGUGUAUGUGUGUGUGUGUGUGUGUGUGUGUGUGUGUGUGUGUGUGUGUGUGAGUGAGUGUGUAUGUGUGAGAGAGAGGGGGAAGUGAGAAGGAGAAAUAGCUUUUCCCUAAUAAAAUAACUAUACCAGUGCAAUAAUCCUAUAAACAACCAGAGGCUAACGGUGCUAAGGGUCAUGUCAAAUCAGCCAUUACUCUUACUCCCUAUGGUCCUACUCAGUGUCCCAUAUCUGCUUGUACCUGCCAAGGCCUUCCAUAUUUCCCUGACUGUACACAUCAUCUAUGAACUACAUUAACAAUGACGCUUUGCUAAUUAAAUGCGACGUCACCUUCCUGUCUGUCAUGGUGGACACAGUCCUUUAUUCUAGUCAUUGUCUUACUCUGUGUUUGCCAAACUUGUGUAUCAGUGCUGAUCAGUGAUCACAUAUAUUAAGGGCCUCCAGAGACAGACAGGGAAAAGGGAAAAUAGUGGAGUGCAUUUGAUCAGUUAACAAAAAGCAUCUGGCCACAGUUGGAGCACCUCUGAUGUCAUCAGAAAGAGGGUUCUACAGCAUAGCAGCUAGAAGCUGCUUCACCAUGUUGAGUUCUGAUAGCAGGUAUUACCAGCAAUUUCUCUCCAGUGGUCUGAAGAAUCUUGCCGGUUUAGUGGUUUAUAACGAGCGGCAACGCUUUAAAGUUGAUCCUGUGACCAGAAGCCAGUGUGAGGACUUAAGAGUCAUAGUGAUAUGGUCAGUGCUUUUGGCUUUUGAAGAAGUUUAGCAGCUGCAUUUUCUAUAAGCUGAAGCCCUGCUGGAGAUGAAGACAUGAAUGAGUUUUUCUAAAUCAUGUUUUGACAUAAGGCCUCUAAGUUUGGCCAUGAUUUUGAGAUGGUAAAAACCUGAUUUGGUUAUUGCUUUCACGUGGUUGUCAAAACUGGGAUCGCAAUCAAUUAAGACACCACGGUUUUUAACAGCGUCCUUCGCUUUAAAUCCUUUUGUGUCAAGGUGUGUACCAAUCCUAAGUCUCUUCUCAUUUUUCCCAUUUCAUUUCGGUUUUGUCCUUAUUUAGCUGAAGGACAUUUCGAGACAUCCAGCUGUUCAUUUGGUCAGUGUAUGAACGAGGGACAGGGGACAAUCAUUAGAAGGCAUUGGAUGAGAGGCCUAAGUAGAUUUGGGUGUCAUCUACAUAGCUAAGAAAUCUAAUGAUUUAAUGAUUUGUCCAAGCAGGAUCUCUGUCAAAAUCUCUGUCUGGAUGUCAUGAAGAAGACGCAGAGAUGUCAUUGUCUUCUCUGAUGUUGCCUGCAGGGACUUAGGAAUGAAUUGCUCCUACGGUUGCUGCCAGUUGUACUGCUACUGCUACUACAGAGAGUAGAGAAAGAAGAAGUUAGUAGCAUAUACACAUGAGAGGUCCUUGGCAGCCUAGGCCUAUGGCAGCAUAACUAAGGUCCUUGGCAGCCUAGGCCUAUGGCAGCAUAACUAAGGUCCUUGGCAGCCUAUAGACCUAUGGCAGCAUAACUAAAGGAUGGUGCACGCUGGUCAGCCUAGGCCUAUGGCAGCAUAACCAAGGGAUGGUGCACGCUGGUCAGCCUAGGCCUAUGGCUGCAUAACUAAGGGAUGGUGCACGCUGGUCCAACACCACCAUGAGGAUGGUCUGGAACUGACCAUACCAACUACGACUGACAGGCCAGUCACAGAGAGGCAACAGCAGAGGCAGCCCUCUCCACUGAAGGCAGCCCUUUCCAUCAGAGGCAGCCCUUUCCACCAGAGGCAUCACCAGAGGCAGCCCUUUCCACCAGAGGCAGCCCUUUCCACCAGAGGCAUCACCAGAGGCAGCCCUUUCCACCAGAGGCAGCCCUUUCCACCAGAGGCAGCCCUUUCCACUGAAGGCAGCCCUUUCCACCAGAGGCAUCACCAGAGGCAGCCCUUUCCACUGAAGGCAGCCCUUUCCAUCAGAGGCUCUGUCAUCAGUGCUGCACCUCCGCACACCAUUCCCAACUAUGGGGAGUAAUAAAGAGGAAAGUUUAAAGUCUAGACUUCAAAGUAGGGAGGGUGUCUGCUUCUCAGAUAAAGGAAGAAAGUUUAUUCCAAAGGAGGUGGGCUCGAUAGCAAAUGGCUCUGCCUCCUACCAUAAGUUUCGAAACUCUUGAAAUUACAAGAAAGGCCUCCAUUUUGAGAUCGAAGGACUCUUUAUGGGCAGUACGGGACUAAUAAACCGCUCAGGUGGUCCGGAGCUAGACCGUUCAGAGCCUUGUAUGUUAGAAGGAUAUUUUGAAGUUGAUUCUACUUUUGACAGGGAGCCAGUGAAGAGAAAUGAGUACAGGAGAAAUGUGUUCAUAUUUUUUAGUUCUAGUAAGUGUGUGAGUGGCUGCAUCUUGUAUCAGCUAGAGGCUCUUUAGUGAGUUGUUGCUGCAUCCGGACAGUAAAGCAUUGCAGGAGUCAAGUAUUGAAGUGCCAAUUGCAUGGAUUUGUAUAGACUAUAAAAGACAUGUGAUUGUCAUAUAGACACACACACACAUAGACACAACACAAAUGCACACAUACACAUACACACGCACACACACACACAUCAACAUAUUUAUGCGGCUUUAUGCGGCUUUGCUUGUUCCAUUCACUCCAACCCAUCAUGAAAAAUAGGUUCAAUGUUUCAAAUGUAGAAAUGAGUUUUGAAGAUGAUGACACUAAUACAUUUCGGACCACUUUACGAAACUAGACUUCAUCAUAGAUUGCAUGUGCUUUAAGUGUAAGGAAAAUUCUGGUUGCUAACUUAUGACACACAGAUGACUAAGAGGGAAGAGAAGGGAAGCUGGCAAGGAAAUCACACAAAUGUAUUACGUAGCAAUCUAAGAGGCCAUUAUAUACUUUCUAAGCUGACCUUACUUCUCUGCAUUAAGGCUAAACUAUGGACAUGGACACCGUGUACAAUUACCACAUUGUCCUUACUGGGGUUGAGCGUGUGCUUGUGCGUGUUUUUGUGUGAGCCUUCAUCUUAUUUUCAACUAACUCCUUAUCAUAGAUGUCCUUGUUGUGGUUCCUUUUUUUUAUUAUUAUUAUUUUACAAAAACAUGAUUUCCUCUUACUUAGAGUAGGUGAUGAGAGGUUCAUGAAGGGGACAAACACACACACAGGCAUCACUAAAACACAUAUAAAAUGCAUAUAAAACGCAGAUCUCAGCCCUCUGCUCAACUUUCAGGCUCCUUGAAACAAACUGGUGAAUGGACAGGGUCGUUGAAGUGCCUUAGACUAUUAAAGACUUUUAUUCAGAUUGCCACAUCUCCCUCUCUCUCUCUCUCUCUCUCUCUCUCUCUCUCUUUUUCUUCUUUUCUUUCUUUCCCUUGGUAUCUCUAAGCCUUUCUCUCUCUGACUCUCUCUCCCUCUCUCUAUCUCACAGUGUCACUUCCACCCACUUCUACCAUACCUAUAUACAGCCGCCUACACACACGUGCACACACACACACACACACACACACACACACACACACACACACACACACACACACAUACACACACACACACACACAAACACACACCCUCUCAAACAUGUAUGCAUGCAAACAUAGAACCACAUGUAAGGUAUCAUUAUACCACAUGAAGGAGAGGUGGGGAGAUUUUAAUUGCACAUUACAUGCAUUGCAGGUUUCCUUCAACAGACACACACAUAUAUUUCUCUUUCAAUGCCUGUAUUCAGGCCACAGAAUGCAGUUGGAUCAAUAUUAAAAAACCUCUCUUUUCCCUUACUCCCUUCUCCCUACUCUCACCCACUCACUUCGUCUCUCUCUCUCUCUCUCUCUUUUUUUCUCUAACUCUCUCUCUCCAUCCCUCCCUCUCUCUCUGACUCACACAGAAGCCCUAGUAUGCCCCUACCUCAUUUGGGUUUUCUCUCUUUGAUUGCCAGACUGAGGGAGAGAGGAGGGAGGAGGGAGAGAUGAAGCUGAACGAGAGAGGGAGUUCGAGGGAGGGGAGGUUCUGUCUGACUUGCAUAUAAUGAGGCUUACCAAGGAGGAGGAGAGGGAUGAGAAGUGAGGGGGAGUUGAUUGGUAAAACCCCCUCCGCCCCCACCACAGGCAACACCAUCCUCACUGUCUCUAUGCAGGCGGGCUCACGUAACAUAACACACACGCGCAUGCUCUCUCUCUCUCUCUCUCACACACACACAGACACACACUCACACGCACACACACACAAGUGCAUGCUCUCUCACUCUCUCUCACACACACACUAACACACACACACACACACACACACACACACACGCGCAUGCUCUCUCUCUCUCUCUCUCUCUCACACACACACACACACACACACACACACACACACACACACACAAACACACAGACACACAAACAUAACACAGUCACAGUCAUGUCACGUCACGCAUCACCCUCAUGAUCUUCGGGCGAUAAUUCGCUGUCAAGCAAGCUCCAUCCAAUAGACAAUCUGUCCACAAUCUGACAUUUCCCACGCUACAGAUAGGUGAUUGCGGAAUACAGCUGGUGCCAAAUAGCUUUUGGCAGUUGGCCUUGUUCUGAUGUGCAUCUGGGCCAGACCUGGGCCAGACCUGGGCAGCUAGCUUUCAUGCACCCAUAGUAUGAGCACGUAUACAUAAGAUUAGUCACGGAAAUUAGAUGCACGUUCCAAAAACAAAUGAAAAUAUAGAAAUAAUUUGGCAGCGAGAUAAAAGAUGAUAAAAGAUUAGCCUCGGCAGGAUCAAUAGAGGUUUUUUUCUUCUAUUGAAUAAGAUCAACUUGACACCUUGAUCUUGACCUGGACCAUUACCUCAACGCUAAAAGGAAAAGGGUGGUGACAAGAACUUUUAGUGGGUUGGAGUGGGUCAUUGACCUCAGGGUGGAGCUCAGUGUGGGCUCAGGGUGAAGCUCAGGGUGGACGAGUAAAGGUGAAGUCAUCCUCAACUUCAGUGAUGGCUUGUUCAGGAUGGUUGCAUCCCUCACACCAUCAGUAGCCACAGGUUCUCUGCCGUCUAUCUUGACCUUAGGGUGGUGCCCACAUCUGCAGCCCCUACUCUGUUCUUGUUUCUGCUCUUCCCUCAGUUGCUGCUGUCUUCCCUCAGCUUGGCAGAGUGCCCCUGGGACGGCCCAACUCCUGAUUUGCAUUUUUCUUGUGUGUCUGUGUUUUUGCUGAUCUGGGUGUCCGAGAAACAUCAAAGAGAUUUUUUUUCUUUCCCCAUGUGGAGUUGCUUCUCAGCAGCUUUGGGUCUCUCACUACUGAUUUUAACAUUCCCAGGAUAAAUACCUGCUCUCCAUGGUCCUGAAGUAUAACACUCACACUCUCUUGUUCCUCCCUUUGUUGGCCUUGAGACCUCAAUAAGUUCCUAAAUUUCCCUCGGGAUAAAUAAAGUAUCCAUCUAUCCAUCCAUCUAUCUAUAAGUGUCCAUGAACCUCCAGGCCAGGGUAAAAAUUAGAAGACGCUCUGCAGUGACAGGGCCAGAUCCUCUUACAUCACACACUGGCACUCACAAGGGCUUUAGCUUAUCACUGUAAUCAGAUGUCACUGUUCAGUUACACACAGCAGGCGACACAGUGGAUAACAGCACAGUAGAGUCUGGCUAUGAGAAGUAGGUGUUGGGCAUGUAAGGCAUGAUGUAAGACAACAAAGUGCACAGUUUCUCAAUGUGAGGUUAGAAAACAUGCUUGGCAAGGUAGCUGAAGCUGAAGAUAAGGGCCAAGGUCCUCACAUAAGCACCUGCUCUCUGAGAUGCAUUCAGUACACUGGCCCAAGGAAGGGGAAACAGGGUUUCAGUUUCCCGCAGGACCGGGGAGAGAGAGGCACAUACUGUAACCAAGGGUUAAGUUUGAAAAUGCUUUACCUAAUUCAUACAUCUUUUCUAGCUUAGCACUCCGCCAUCGAGAUGUGGAUGAUAAGGGCAGCCGCCAUAACUGUCAUCAGGUUUAGAGUCCUGUGUUAGCAGAUGUUAGAUUUUCUCACAUGUGGCACAAAAGCAUUUUAUAAUGUCUGAGAGGAAGUGGUAUGAACCAGCUGCAAGGCACAGUUUCCACACGACAAUUCCACAUCACAGGCUCCCCUGUGAGACAAUAUCAGUACCAUGGACAGCAUACACCUGUCAAACCUCAGCACUGCCCAUACUGGACAGCAACCACUCACCUUUGGGCAGUGGCUGAUGGUCUCAGGACUCCAUUUCUGGAGCUGAUAGAGUGUGAGAGACAGUGCUGCUGUUCUGAAGCCUCUUCUGAAUAGAGCUGUAUGAUGCAAAAGAUAAGUAAUUCAUUGAGAACGCAGUGCCUGUCUGAGAGAUGCUGCAUUUAGAGUUUUUUUUUAUCUCACUAAAAAUAUUGUUUUCAACCUAUAGCUAGAACUUCACCAUCACACUGACACAUGCUGCAUGUGAAUCAGAACACAUGUGCAUAUCUGCCAUAUUCUGUGUUAUAUUUGAAAAAUAAAUGCUGCUUGAACCAAUGAGUAUUUGACAACGUGAACACUGGAUGUCAUCAAUAAAUCAUGCUCUCUCCAAUGCUGCCUCUCUCUCACCAUCUAUCUCUCUAUCUCUCUCUCUCUCUUCCUCCCUGCAUCUCUAUCUCCCUCUCAUUCUUUUUCACAUGCUCUCUCUAUCUAUCCCUUUCCCUUGUCUCUCUCCCAC
ensembl:lncRNA